rfam:Triticum aestivum genome assembly, contig: Triticum_aestivum_CS42_TGACv1_scaffold_577125_7BL
CUAAUACUCUCUCCGUCCGAAAAUACAUGUCAUCAAAAUGGAUAAAAAAUGAUGUAUCUACAUCCCUUUCAUUUAUUUUGAUGACAAGUAUUUUCGGACAGAGGAAGUACAAA